CCCCCCCCCCCAAGAUCCUGACUUCAACUUUAACGCUGCCGGGCUAUUUUUUAGACAAAGUGCACGUAUUAGUAGUCAGCCGAAACCACUAAGCGUUUUGCAUCCAUACGUUUUUUUUCGGGAUACUGCAUGACUGCAUAGUAAACUAUCAAUGUACUAGUUAAUGUUCUCGAGGGCUGACCCUAUUACAGAGACAUAUAUACACAUAUGUGUAAAUAUGUCUCUGCCCUAUUACGUGUCGGUAACCUCCUCGACACGGUUCAUUUUUACGGCGGCUCAGUUUUGUCUUAAGAAUAAACAUAAUUGAUAAGUUUCUUUCCCCUGCAUUUCUCGAUCGCACUUGUAAAUAGCACAUUGGUCUCAAGACAUUGGUUACAACACUUGCCGUCAGUACUCAAAAUUGGAAAAAUAUUAAAUAAGAAGGUUGCCAGCAAGAUGAAAAGAACAAUGCAGUUCAAAAGUCAAAAUGUGGAUAAGAUGCGGUACAAGGUCCUACUUUUGCAGAUUUUCAUAUUUUGCAUGAAUGAAUUUGAAGUUUAUAUCAUGGAGGGCAGAGAAAGAAAAGAAACACUUCAGUUUUCCUGCUUCUGAAGGAUAAAUGUAAAACAUCUUGUUUGAAGGAUUGAAAUUCAUCACUGAGAAUAAAAGGAGAAAACACAGAAACAAGACCAAAAUAAAUUCAAAGACAAAAGUCAGAUCAGUUAUUAUUUUCAUCACUCAGCCAAUGAAUUGAAGUUCUAUUAAAUAUCUAAAGAUAUUAAAACCACAAUAAUGACAAUGUUCUGUGCUGAAUGGCAAAAAGUGGACUAUACAUUACAAUCACACAAUGCUGGAUGAUAAGAAACUAUUAAUUUUUUGGGUGGAGGGAUAUCCUGAAAAAAAAAUAGAUUUAUGUAAAAAGCUACUAGUAUGUUAAGCCUAUUAAUAGAGUUUUCAUUGAUUUCAAAUGGGAAAAAAUUGUGUUUCAAAAAAGUAUUCUAGAAUUCAUAAAUAAACAUAUAUUGAUACUUACA